UACGUAGGGUGCGAGCGUUAAUCGGAAUUACUGGGCGUAAAGCGUGCGCAGGCGGUUCGUUGUGUCGGUGGUGAAAUCCCCGGGCUUAACCUGGGAAUGGCCAUGGAAACUGGCGAACUGGAGUGCGGCAGAGGGGGGUGGAAUUCCGCGUGUAGCAGUGAAAUGCGUAGAGAUGCGGAGGAACACCGAUGGCGAAGGCGGCUGCCUGGCCCAAUACUGACACUCAGGUGCGACAGCGUGGGGAGCAAACAGG
rnacentral:rRNA from 1 species